ensembl:snRNA U6 U6 spliceosomal RNA
CUCACUUUGGCAUCAGAUAUACUAAAAUUGACAUGAUACAGAAAAAGAUUAAUAUGGCCCCUAUGCACAGAUGACAUGCAAAGUUCAUUAAAUAUUCUAUAUCUUA